UCAGCACGAGCGGGGUCGAAUCCCUUGCAGACGACUUUGAUGUGCGAAAGGGUCCUGUAAGCAGUAGAGUAGCCUUGUUGUUACGAUCUGCUGAGGGUAAGCCCUACUUCGCCUCGAUUU
rnacentral:rRNA from 1 species